UACGUAGGGUGCAAGCGUUGUCCGGAAUUAUUGGGCGUAAAGGGCUCGUAGGCGGUCCAUCGCGUCGGGAGUGAAAAGCUGGGGCUUAACCCCAGUCCUGCUUCCGAUACGGGUGGACUAGAGGUAGGCAGGGGAGAACGGAAUUCCUGGUGUAGCGGUGAAAUGCGUAGAGAUCCGGAGGAACCCCAGAGGCGAAGGCGGCCCCCUGGCUCGUACCUGACGCUCAGCCACGAAAGCAUGGGGAGCGAACGGG
rnacentral:rRNA from 1 species